GAUGAACGCUGGCGGCGUGCCUAAUACAUGCAAGUCGAGCGAACGGACGAGAAGCUUGCUUCUCUGACGUUAGCGGCGGACGGGUGAGUAACACGUGGAUAACCUACCUAUAAGACUGGGAUAACUUCGGGAAACCGGCGCUAAUACCGGAUAAUCUUUUGAACCGCAUGGUUCAAAAGUGAAAGACGGUCUUGCUGUCACUUAUAGAUGGAUCCGCGCUGCAUUAGCUAGUUGGUAAGGUAACGGCUUACCAAGGCAACGAUGCAUAGCCGACCUGAGAGGGUGAUCGGCCACACUGGAACUGAGACACGGUCCAGAGGCCUACGGGAGGCAGCAGUAGGGAAUCUGCCGCAAUGGGCGAAAGCCUGACGGAGCAACGCCGCGUGAGUGAUGAAGGUCUUCGGAUCGUAAAACUCUGUUAUUAGGGAAGAACAUAUGUGUAAGUAACUGUGCACAUCUUGACGGUACCGAAUCAGAAAGCCACGGCUAACUACGUG
rnacentral:rRNA from 1 species